CAGCAGCCACGGUAACACGUAGGUGGCAAGCGUUGUCCGGAAUUAUUGGGCGUAAAGGGCUCGCAGGCGGUUUCUUAAGUCUGAUGUGAAAGCCCCCGGCUCGACCGGGGAGGGUCAUUGGAAACUGGGAAACUUGAGUGCAGAAGAGGAGAGUGGAAUUCCACGUGUAGCGGUGAAAUGCGUAGAGAUGUGGAGGAACACCAGUGGCGAAGGCGACUCUCUGGUCUGUAACUGACGCUGAGGAGCGAAAGCGUGGGGAGCGAACAGGAUUAGAGACCCCCGUAGUCCCUGUCUCUUAUAC
rnacentral:rRNA from 1 species